AGCUCCAAUAGCGUAUAUUAAAGUUGCUGCAGUUAAAAAGCUCGUAGUUGCAUUUCCGAGGCAAGGGAUUAGUCCGACCUUUGGUGGGUAUUUAAUCCUCUUGCCUCGUCCUUGAGUGGUGCUUCUUGGUAUUAAGUUAUCGAGGAGAUAGCCGCUCAUCGUUUACUGUGAGAAAAUUAGAGUGUUCAAAGCAGGCUUAUGCCGUUGAAUAUAUUAGCAUGGAAUAAUAAGAUAGGACCGCGGUACUAUUUUGGUGGUUUGAGAACCAAGGUAAUGAUGAAUAGGGACAGUUGGGGGUAUUCGUAUUCAGUUGUCAGAGGUGAAAUUCUUAGAUUUACGGAAGACGAACUACUGCGAAAGCAUUUACCAAGGAUGUUUUCA
rnacentral:rRNA from 1 species